AUCGAAGAGGCGCAGCCAACACUAGUAGUUAACCUUAGUCUGCCAAGCAAUGAGGGUUAUUGAACAGGGCGGCUGCCGAAGCGUCUAACUUGGCAAAGUUAGGUAGCUGGGGCGUAGCUGAAUAAGUUGCGGACUGUCGUGGGACAAUAUCAGCCCACGUUGCGCUAUC
rnacentral:ncRNA from 1 species